rnacentral:rRNA from 1 species
AACGAACGCUGGCGGCAGGCUUAACACAUGCAAGUCGAGCGCCCCGCAAGGGGAGCGGCAGACGGGUGAGUAACGCGUGGGAAUCUACCCAUCACUACGGAAUAACGCAUGGAAACGUGUGCUAAUACCGUAUACGUCCUUCGGGAGAAAGAUUUAUCGGAGAUGGAUGAGCCCGCGUUGGAUUAGCUAGUUGGUGGGGUAAAGGCCUACCAAGGCAACGAUCCAUAGCUGGUCUGAGAGGAUGAUCAGCCACACUGGGACUGAGACACGGCCCAGACUCCUACGGGAGGCAGCAGUGGGGAAUAUUGGACAAUGGGCGCAAGCCUGAUCCAGCCAUGCCGCGUGAGUGAUGAAGGCCCUAGGGUUGUAAAGCUCUUUCACCGGUGAAGAUAAUGACGGUAACCGGAGAAGAAGCCCCGGCUAACUUCGUGCCAGCAGCCGCAGUAAGAC